rnacentral:lncRNA from 14 species
CUCUGAUAGCCCAACUCAAAGUGAUGAUACAAUGCAGAGUGAGAAACAGUCUAUAGCAGAGACAGUUUGUUACAGAUGUUCAUGUAGCUUAUGUCUUCCUCCUCAUCCCCUUCACCUGCCCUCCACCAACUCCAUCU